ensembl:piRNA 21ur-3982 ncRNA
UAUAUGUAUGACAUCGAGUGU